UGGAUCGUUAGCUCAGUUGGUAGAGCACGUGACUCUUAAUCAUGUGGUCCAGGGUUCGAGUCCCUGACGAUCCAUCC
rnacentral:tRNA from 1 species